AAAUAGAACUUUGCAGAGAGAGUUAACAGGGCGUGAAACCGUUAAUUGGCAAACGAAUCGGAGCCACGAAGUCGUUUCGUUGUUUAGUCUGGACUAGGUUCAGUUUGGAUGUUAAAACCAUCCAAAUGUAUUCCUGUGUCUGACCAAACCUUGUAAGCGUACACUGCAACCGGUUAGACGAUUGGUCAUGGAAUCAGUUGCUGUGCAAGUUAGUAGUAGUGCUGUGCGUCCUUGUGGUGCAUUGGUGUUGCUGGACUUGUUGCAAGUGACCUAUGACCAAAUACUGACCGGCAAAACGAAAAUCGCUCCUAUGAGCGUAAUAAACAAUGCAGCUCUAGGUACAGAUGCCUACAUGUUCAGCUGCUCGGUCUUAAGCUCAGCAUUUUUAAAUUCAGACCUGCUCGCUACCAGUGGGGCAACUCCUGGUGCUUGUAUGGCUUCUGUCUAAUUGGGUGUUGACUUGGCCAAGUAUCGUCUUGGAUAUGAAACGUUAGGGUGUUUGUAUCAUUAAGCUCGCUAGUAUUGGCAGUGAGUAGGUCGGCUUUCCGAACGACCCGUCUUGAAACACGGACCAAGGAGUCUAAUUAGGCAUCGAGUCGAUCGGUCUUGAAUAGGCCAGACUAGGUGGCUUCACCUGAUUGAAGGCGUAGAGACAUGUGAUCCUGUGGGCAACAACAGCCCCUAGGCGCAACAUGUGCCUGUUCGUAUAGCAUUGUGCAAAAUGCUGAGCGGAGUCAGGAGAUGCCUGAUUGGGACCCGAAAGAUGGUGAUGCUUGGGCAAAUUGAAGCCAGAGGAAACUCUGGUGGAGGAUUGUAGCGAUUCUGACGUGCAAAUCGAUCGUCAGACCUGAGUAUAGGGGCGAAAGACUAAUCGAACCAUC
rnacentral:rRNA from 1 species